AAUGUUUCUAGAUGAGAUAAUCACUGUGUGGUAAAGUAAAAAGUUGUAAAAUGCCAUUUAAAAAGAUUUUGAGGAAACUAGACUUACUUUAAAAGCUUGAGAAAGGAAGAAAGAAGAAAAAGAUAUUUGUACAUGGAAGAUUGAGACAAAGCUUCUUAAUGGAGUUAAAAAAAAAGCCUUUGGUUGAAGGGCAGCCAUGUAAACUAACAUUGAAGCGAUUUAAACAAAAUCUAAGCCUCUUUUAAAAGAGUGAAGCUGUAGGUGGUGAAACAGUACAUUUAAAAGUACAGUAUAGAUGAUAAUUGGAAGGCUUU
rnacentral:lncRNA from 1 species